rnacentral:lncRNA from 1 species
UGUGGGGUGAAUAGGACAAAACCAAUUUUCAAAAAAAAAGAAAGUUAGUUUUGUGUUUGACUUUAAGUUGUAGGUGGGUGUCAUAACAUCCUCAACCAUACAUAAAGCUUCUUUAGUUAAGAAAUCAGCAACAACAUUUUGAAUUCUAGGAAUCGAGUGAAAAGAGAGAGAGUAAUAGAUGGACGAUUUUUCUAUUUUUCUAUUUUAUCUUUCUUAUUAUCCGAAAAAACAUAUCUAACAAUA